rnacentral:tRNA from 1 species
AUGUCGGUGGUGUAAUGGCGUAGCACCCUAUCUGGUGAGCAGGAGGUGAGAGUUCGAGUCUCUUCUGACACG